UUUAUACUUCCUCCGUCCUAAAAUUCUUGUCUUUGAUUUGUCUAGAUAUAAGUGUAUCUAACAUUAAAAUAUAACCAGAUACAUCCGUAUUUAGACAAAUCUAAGACAAGAAUUUUGCAACGGAGGGAGUACUAA
rfam:Triticum aestivum genome assembly, contig: Triticum_aestivum_CS42_TGACv1_scaffold_220744_3B